rnacentral:snoRNA from 1 species
GAUGCAAUGAUGAGAUGAAGCACACGAGGGUGUGUUAAGGGCAGUGGAAGAGACCUAAAAAAUCUCUUCCGUGAGUCUUAUAACCAAAACGACUUCUCCUUCCACUGAGCAUC